ACUGAAGAAUAUUGUUCUUUAAUAUUUCUUCUAAGCCAGAUGUUUUCCAUUCAAUUUUGAGGACUGCCAACACAUUUUUAAUUGAUCCAAGUUAUCUUCUGGCUUAGUUUUAGCUUGAAUGUUCCCUUUUCCAGCUCCUCAAUACUCCUUUGUUCUUCAUUUCUACCCCAGUGUGGGCCCAUGUCAUCAGGUGACUUAAAUGAUUACAGCAAUUAAAUAUCAAUUCUUAUUCAAGGCAACCCUUCUUUGCCUUCAAAUUGAGGAGUAAUCAAGUCACACCACCCCUGUUACAUAAUUAUCAAAGAUUUUUCUUUCAGUAAAUUGUCUUAAAUUGGCAUCUUAUAAUGCAUACAAAAUAUUUUCUAAAGACGAUAAAAAUUUUAAAGUUAAGCCCACAUCCCUGACAUAUAAAAGCUGGCCAGAAAUCCCCUAAAAUUACUCCAUAAUGUCAUAACCAAGUGCACAAUUACCAGGUUAAUGUUAUUUUUAUGAAUCCUGAAUUUGCUCAACU
rnacentral:lncRNA from 1 species